rnacentral:tRNA from 1 species
GGAAGAAUGGCAGAGUGGUUGAAUGCACUUGAUUCGAAAUCAAGCAUAGGGGCAACUCUAUCGGGGGUUCAAAUCCCUCUUCUUCCGCCA